ensembl:lncRNA
AGGUCACAGUGAGUCAGGGGUUUAAUUUUGAGUUCAUCAGAUAGCUGAUACUCAGUGACUUCUCUUUCCAUCGAAGCACAAUUCUUAUACAUAUCCCUGUCCCACCCCAACUCAGCAUCACAUAGCUCUCUCUGAAACACCUGGCUACUGGGGAGAUUUAAAUCACUUUAAUCUAUGUAGAGGGUAGAGAAAAUAUCUUUCGUCUUAGAGAAAGAGAUGCGAUACAAAAGAAGACAUCUUAGAAGAGAGGGAAAAUAAAAAUGAAAACAAAAAGUGCCAGCGAUAGCAUAGUUCUGAGACAAAUCCACCCCAGGUCUUUGAUGGGAAGGUGGAUUUUCCAACCAGUGACUUGCCAGUGUCCUGUGUCCCACCUGGUCUUCAUUACUUACACGUAAGUCUGUGCUGCCAGCCCCAGGCAGGAUGUCCCAGCCCUCAUAUUGCAGGCCAGAUGCUAACAAGGGAGUGAUCGAUCAACUGCGAUGCAGCCCACUCCACCCAGCACAGCCACAUUACCUGGAGAGGAGCAAUUAAGUCCCUUUGGUUUCCUUGGAAAUGUUCCAUCCGUCCGUCCCAACUGCCCUGACUCUUGAGAAAUGCCGUAAAUGGUAGAGAUGCUACUGGGAGACAAUGCCUUUAUCUUCCUAUGGAAAGUUUCCAGAAUACGAAGUCAGCCUACAAGAUGGAUUUGCAUUUGCCAAGCCUGCCUGGGCUGAUGGGAAGGAAAACCACUGAUCUGUCAGGAACGUAGAGAUGACUCAAAGACAGGGACGAAGAUGACCCAUCAGGCUGAGCCCUACAGCCAAGUUCUUGCAAACCCAGCUGAAAGUUGUUCUGACUAAGGCCUUUGUGCUUGGACCUCAAAGGUUCAUCUGGAAUCAGACAUGCCUGAACUUGGCUCAGAGCUCCCUCGUGGAAAAGAACACUGUAAACUUCAUUUGCUCUGUCAGCACAAGAUGAGAAAGCAGAGGCUCUGCAGGCGAUGAGCUUUACCCAUAGUCAGGGAUCAGCAAGGGUGGCAGCACUAGGGGCAAGGAGCCAGAUACAAGGCUGCUAAACCUCUGCCUGGAGCCAUAGCCACUGGGUCACACAGCCAUUCAGCUGUGGAGCAAACAGGUGAUGGCUGCGGUGUGACAUUCUAAAGCAGCAGGAGCUCCCAGCGGGAGCCAUGAUCUAAGUGCCAACGUCUGAAUGUCUGAGCCUUUCAAGUCAUCUCAAGAACAGGCAGCCUUACAGGUACCAUCCAAGCCUGCUAUUCUCCAGCCAUCACUGCCAUCCUCACCUAUUAAAAU